rnacentral:rRNA from 1 species
AUGGCUACUAGCACCAGGCUUGCAGCUCUUGGCUUUGUUGUCCUUGUGAGCAUUGGGUUCGCCGAUGCAGCAAGGAUGCUAGCUAGCUCCUCCAGUGCUUCAGGUGGUGGUGGAGGAGGUGGUGGGGGAGGUGGUGCGAAUGGUGGGAGUGGAUGGGGUGGAGGGUCUGGAUCGGGUGGAGGCUUAGGAUAUAGUGAAAGCGGUGGAGAUUGGGGUAACAAGUGGAAUUUCGCCAAGGGGUCUGGAGGAGGAGGAGGAGCAGGCGGUGGGGGAGGAUCAAAGGGUGGAUCCGGGUCUGGUUUCGGAUCUGGUUCUGGUAGAGGGAGUGGUGUGAGUGGCUCUGCAUCAGCCCCUAGCGGCAAUGGAUACGCCAAUGCUGAUGGUAAUGGCGGGGGCGGGGGUAGUGGUGGGGGUGCAAAUGGGUCUAGCGGAACUGGGGUUGGGUCUGGCCUUGGCAAGGGAUAUGGUGAGAGUGGUGUGACAAAGGCACCGACUCCUGUUGCCGGUGGUGAUGGUACCAGCUACUCAGAUGCUGGUGGUAGUGGUAACGGGGGUGGCGGCGGUAACAACGGAAAUGGAGGUGGUGCCGGAGCUGGCGCUGGACAGGCCGGUAGCGACGCCACUUCUGGAGGCUUUGCAAAUGCAGGAGGAAGCGGCAAUGGUGGUGGCGCAACCGGAAGUGUCGCUGAAGGUCCAAGCGUUGGAGUUGGAUCGGGUGCUGGGUCUGGCGCCGCUCAGACCGGUAGCACUGGCUCUUAUGGCGAAGGCUAUGCCACGGGAAUGGGUGGUGGCAUGGGUGGCGGCACCGGUGAGAGCCAGAAUGGCGGAACUGGCAAUGGUGGAGGCAAUGGAUCAGGAUCUGGUGGUGGCGGAUACCACUAA